rnacentral:sRNA from 1 species
CCUCGUCGAUCUGCUCGGGACAGAUGAAGUGGACAUGGGUGUCCACGCCGCCCGCGGUGAGGAUGCGCCCGUUGCCAGAGAUGACCUCGGUGCUCGGGCCGACCACGAAGUUCUUCGGCCGCGCCGUCACCGGAAGCCGAUGCCCCUUGGGGAUGCGGCGCGGCAUCUCGAACUUCUUGAUCUGGUCCAUCGUCUCGGGGUUGUACGCCUUGCCGAUGGCGUCGAUCUUCCCGUCGCGGAUACCGACGUCUGCCUUGACCACACCCCACCAGUCGAGGAUCAGCGCACCUGUGAUGACGGUGUCCACGGGCUUGCAUCCCUUGUCGUCCCCGGUCCUUGGGAUGUGCGCCAUGCCCAUCGACUCACG